rnacentral:rRNA from 1 species
GACAGUACUCCUACGGGAGGCAGCAGUGGGGAAUAUUGCACAAUGGGGGAAACCCUGAUGCAGCCAUGCCGCGUGUGUGAAGAAGGCCUUCGGGUUGUAAAGCACUUUCAGUAGGGAGGAAGGUAGUGUAGUUAACACCUGCAUUAUUUGACGUUACCUACAGAAGAAGCACCGGCUAACUCCGUGCCAGCAGCCGCGGUAAUACGGAGGGUGCGAGCGUUAAUCGGAAUUACUGGGCGUAAAGCGCAUGCAGGCGGCCUGUUAAGUCAGAUGUGAAAGCCCGGGGCUUAACCUCGGAAUUGCAUUUGAAACUGGCAGGCUAGAGUCUUGUAGAGGGGGGUAGGAAUUUCAGGUGUAGCGGUGAAAUGCGUAGAGAUCUGAAGGAAUACCAGUGGCGAAGGCGGCCCCCUGGACAAAGACUGACGCUCAGAUGCGAAAGCGUGGGGAGCAAACAGGAUUAGAUACCCUGGUAG